CGGCUGACGAUCAGCUCCCUCUGGUGGAGAUCCAGAGCUGCUCCACGUCCGUCACGCAGGACUUCCUGUGGUUCUGUAAGCUGUCGUGUGCGUGGACGCAGGUGCCGCGGCUGCUGCAGGUCCUGUCGUCUUCAUCGCUCUCCUCGUCUUCAUCGCUGCUGCAGAACAGACUCAGUUUCCUGCGGGCCGUCGCGCAGCUGCAGGCGUCGGUGGGAUGUGUGGAUCUGGGUCAGGUGUAUUUCGAGCCGCUGAAGGACCGGCAGGGGAAUGUGCUGCUGGUGACCCUGAGAGAGGUCACGACCCCGCUGACCCCGUCUGACCCCCCGCUGCACUGGCUUCCUGUCAGCAGCCUGGAGAGAAACCAGAGCGAGACGCCGCUGCUGCCUGAACCCUCGGCCGUAGAGCUGCUGAC